UCCUGUGUGGCUCAGUUGGUAGAGCAUGGCGCUUGCAACGGCAAGGUUGUGGGUUCAAUUCCCACAGGGGAA